rnacentral:misc_RNA from 1 species
AUCUCGGUGGUAUUCAGUCGUGAGUCGGCCGUUCGCUCGUCGUUGUCAGUCGCCAGUUUGCACGCCGCGGUCGCAACGUCGUUUCGUCGCGCCGUAGUUGUGGCCGACUCGACAGCCGAGCAACGAAACGAAACGCAAAGCCAGGCGAUCCUAGUACAUCUAUCUAUAUAUAUAUAUAUAUAUACGUAUGUCGGGGUUACAUUAAAAUAGUGUUUUGAUCGAUCGACGAGCAAUCGCGGGAGGUGGGAAUGCGGUAGAAGUACCGAUCAAUUUUUACUUUCCUUUAUUUUUAUUUGAUUUGAAUUUCUCUGGUUUGCGACUUCGAUCGGUUCGAACGGAACAGUCGGCGGGUAUAUGUAAUUGAAUAAUACGCGUGUGUCGGGGAAUACGGACUUUGGGACGCGUGGUGCGUUGAGGACAUCGAUACCUAUUCUUCGAUUGAUUGUUGUCGGUAGUGUCACUUUUCGAUCUCGGAGGAGGAAAGUUGGGGAGAGAGAUUUAUUUUCUCGUCGUUACCUCUCGGGGGUACGUUUGUCCGAGAAGAGAGUCGAGUCAGUUCAUCCAUCCAUUCAUCCGUUCCGAGGAAGGAGAAAGAGAGAGGAUCUUGGACACGGGGCACGUCGAAUUAUCCACAUCUCAUCCCCUUCGUCCUCCCCUUGUUCUCCUUCGCUGACCGAAAACGUCGAGUUCUUCUAAGCCUGCGAUAUAACGAUACGGAAGAACGGGAACGACGAUCCGCAGGAGCUCCAAGCUGAUUCUUCGAACGGUACCAGAGAAGUAUUGGUGAACAUCGACUGUCCGAUCGGACUAAUUAUGGACUAUGUACGAAAAACAGCUCGCCUCGAAGAAGGUGUGCGAAGCGUCCUUCGGCGAAGCCAAUCGCAGCUGCCUAAUUUCCUGCCUUUUUUCUUACCCCAAGUAAUAUAUUGUGAUAAUAAAACAGGGGAAAUCGAUCUCUGCGAAGAAGAUACGCGUCAAAUGAAGAACGUCACUAAUUAUCCUUGCUGGGCUAGAGGGACGGAUAUUUUGGUACCCGGGACUGUGUACUUCAUCGUCAAGGUCGAAAGAGACACCGAGGGACGGAUCUCACGGGUUCUUCCUGUAAUCAACGCCGUUGGCAAUAAGGCAAGCAAAAUUGCCGCCGAUAUAAUGUCAAAGAUACAACAACCGCCUGCAGGAAAGCAACGGACGUCAUCUGUCGCGGGUAAAUCAUCGCUGCAGGACAAGAACGCUGGUAAAAGUGUACAUCCGGAAAGACGAUCGAGGGUCAGCAAACCGGCUUCGAGAGACAGAGUUGCUUAAUUUUUAUUAUUUUUCAAAGUGCGAUGUCUCGAAACUUUUUUUUUAUAAUCUCGCAAAAUUAUUGUCAGCCAGGCGUGCAGGAGGUGUGACAACUUUUUUAUAUUGCAAAGAAAAAAACGUCGGCUGUCCGGCAAGAUUAAAGAGACGCUUUUAUUCAAUAUACAAUACAAGUAUAAUCGCUAUAGGAUUAUAUUAAAUUAUCACAACUACAAAA